AUGCAGAUCUUCGUCAAGACGCCGUCGGGGAAGACGAUCACGCUCGAGGUCGAGGGCGGCCACGACAUCGCCGACGUCAAGGCCAGGAUCCACGACAAGGAAGAUGUGCCGCCGGAUCAGCAGCGCCUCAUCUUCGCAGGGAAGCAGCUGGAAGAAGGCCACACGCUGGCGGACUACAACAUCCAGAAGGAGUCCACGCUUCACCUCGUGCUCCGCCUCCACGGCGGCAGGGGCGGCACCGGUAAGGGGGGAACCUACCCACCAAUCGAGCCCAACCUCCUUCAGCUCGCCCUCAAGUACAUGCAUGUGCUGUUUGAAGGUGCUAUGCACGCCUUCCCCUCAGGUCUGCCAACUGCCGCAAGAAGAAAUGUGGCCACUGCAACGAGACGAGGACCAAGAAGAAGCUGA
rnacentral:rRNA from 1 species